rnacentral:tRNA from 1 species
GAGAGUGUAGCUCAAGUGGUAGAGCACAUGCUUAGCAUGCAUGAGGUCCUGGGUUCAAUCCCUAGUACCUAUG